CAGUCGAACGAGACUUUUUAUUUGAUGCUUGCAUCUUUUAAAAAGUUGAGUGGCGAACGGGUGAGUAACACGUGGGUAACCUACCUUAAAGUGGGGGAUAACACUUGGAAACAGGUGCUAAUACCGCAUAACCAUCAAAACCGCCUGGUUUUGAUGUUAAAGAUGGUUCUGCUAUCGCUUUAAGAUGGACCCGCGGCGUAUUAGCUAGUUGGUGAGGUAACGGCUUACCAAGGCAAUGAUACGUAGCCGCACUGAGAGGUUGAUCGGCCACAUUGGGACUGAGACACGGCCCAAACUCCUACGGGAGGCAGCAGUAGGGAAUCUUCCACAAUGGACGAAAGUCUGAUGGAGCAACGCCGCGUGAGUGAAGAAGGUUUUCGGAUCGUAAAACUCUGUUGUCAGAGAAGAACGUGUGUGAGAGUAACUGUUCACGCAGUGACGGUAUCUGACCAGAAAGUCACGGCUAACUACGUGCCAGCAGCCGCGGUAAUACGUAGGUGGCAAGCGUUGUCCGGAUUUAUUGGGCGUAAAGGGAACGCAGGCGGUCUUUUAAGUCUGAUGUGAAAGCCUUCGGCUUAACCGAAGUCGGGCAUUGGAAACUGGGAGACUUGAGUGCAGAAGAGGAGAGUGGAACUCCAUGUGUAGCGGUGAAAUGCGUAGAUAUAUGGAAGAACACCAGUGGCGAAAGCGGCUCUCUGGUCUGUAACUGACGCUGAGGUU
rnacentral:rRNA from 1 species